rnacentral:rRNA from 1 species
GGCAGCAGGCACGCAAAUUACCCAAUCUCAGCUCUGGGAGGUAGUGACGAAAAAUAACAAUGCGGGACUCUUCCGAGUCUACGUAAUUGGAAUGAGCACACUUUAAAUCCUUUAGCAACAACCAAUUGGAGGGCAAGUCUGGUGCCAGCAGCCGCGGUAAUUCCAGCUCCAAUAGCGUAUAUUAAAGUUGUUGCGUUUAAAAAGCUCGUAGUUCGAGUUCAGUUCCGGACUGGCCGGGGAGGUCACCGCCCGGUGCUUCCCCGUCAGGCUCCGAACAGCUUUCAUGACUGAAAGCCAAGCCGGUUUCGCCGGGGUGCUCUUCACCGAGUGUCCCGCGCGGCCGGCCAGUUUACCUUGAAUAAAUCAGAGUGCUCAAAGCAGGCUACUCUUAAAAAUAAAGCCCGAAUGUUACCUGCAUGGAAUGAUGGAAGAUGAUCUCGGUUCCAUUUUGUCGGUUCUGGGAAUCCGAGUUAAUGAUAAACAGGGACUGUCGGGGGCAUCCGUACUACGACGCGAGAGGUGAAAUUCAGUGACCGUCGUAGGACGAACAACAGCGAAAGCAUUUGCCAAGAAUGUCUUCGUUGAUCAAGAACGAAAGUUAGAGGAUCGAAGGCGAUCAGAUACCGCCCUAGUUCUAACCCUAAACGAUGCUGACUAGCAAUCCGCCGUCGUUAUUCCCAUGACGUGGCGGGACGCCCCCGGGAAACCUCAAGUCUUUGAGUUCCGGGGGUAGUAUGGUUGCAAAACUGAAACUUAAAGGAAUUGACGGAAGGGCACCACCAGGAGUGGAGCCUGCGGCUUAAUUUGACUCAACACGGGGAACCUCACCAGGCCCGGACACCAGAAGGAUUGACAGAUUAAGAGCUCUUUCUCGAUUUGGUGGGUGGUGGUGCAUGGCCGUUCUUAGUUGGUGGAGUGAUUUGUCUGGUUAAUUCCGGUAACGAACGAGACUCUGGCCUAUUAAAUAGUCGACGUGGGUUUUGGUGCAUGGGCCCCGUUCGAUAAUGUCUUCUUAGAGGGAUGAGCAGCGAGUAUAGCUGCAGGAGAUUGAGCAAUAACAGGUCUGUGAUGCCCUUAGAUGUCCUGGGCCGCACGCGCGCUACACUGAAUGGAUUAGCGGGUUCUCCUUCUCCGAGAGGAGCGGGAAAUCGCGUGAAAACCAUUCGUGAUAGGGAUUGGGGCUUGCAAUUGUUUCCCAUGAACGAGGAAUUCCCAGUAAGCGCAAGUCAUCAGCUUGCGUUGAUUAAGUCCCUGCCCUUUGUACACACCGCCCGUCGCUACUACCGAUUGAAUGAUUUAGUGAGGCCUUCGGACUGGCGGUCUUGGACUGGGCUCCGCUCGCUACUACUCCAGCAAUGGGGGGCGGCGGACUCGCCAUGACGUGCCGGAAAGAUGUCCAAACUUGAUCAUUUANAGGAAGUAAAAGUCGUAACAAGGUUUCC